rnacentral:misc_RNA from 1 species
GAUGAAGAACGUAGCAAAGUGCGAUAAGUAGUGUGAAUUGCAGAAUUUCGUGAAUCAUCGAAUCUUUGAACGCAAAUUGCACUCUCCGGUUUUCCGGGAGAGUAUGCCUGUUUGAGGGUCAGCCUAAAUAAAUUCGGCUUCGUUGCUGUUGUUUUCGCGGUAACGUUUUUAGUCGGGAUUUGGGUCAUCUUAAACCGAAAGGUUUUUAAGCGACUUAAAAUUUUUUUACGAUCCCACGAACGUUUCUAAGUACUUCUUACACGUUCAGGGUAUCGAAAACCCCUAUUAGGCGUGGCCGUCGUAUCGGAUCGCGUCCAUAAUAUUUAUUCUUUAACUGACCUCAGACAGGUAAGAAUACCCGCUGAACUUAAGCAUAUCAAUAAGCGGAGGA